AACGCACAUUGCGCCCAUGGGUUACCAUGGGCACGCCUGUUUGUGGAACGGUACCAACCACUCCAUCGCCUCCCUUGGGAUUCGUCCCGAGUGGCGGCGGAGAGUGACUGUCACGGGCAAAUGCGCGUCCCUGUCUUGUACAGGGUGCGUAGCCUGCGUCGGUUAAAAUGAGAUGGGCUCUUGUGUGCACGCAUGUAUUGCGAUGCCUGGUAUUGUGGUUCACACCCCCAGCACCUCCGGUUACUGCGCCAGGGCGAUGUCCCAGCCUCUCUCCCCGGAGAGGAGCGGCAUUGUUUUGGCGUUUGGGCUUGCUGGUGAAUCGUGAUAGUAGGAUUAUUUCAGUGUGUGUGUGUAUGCGAUAGUUCCAACCACCUGGAACCUUGGCAGACUAGCUCUGCGGAUUCGUUCUCAAAUCAGACGAGACUACCCGCUGAACUUAA
rnacentral:misc_RNA from 1 species